rnacentral:rRNA from 1 species
CCUACGGGUGGCAGCAGUGAGGAAUAUUGGUCAAUUGGCGCGAGUCUGAACCAGCCAAGCAGCGUGCAGGAAGACUGCUCUAUGGGUUGUAAACUUCUUUUGUAAAAGAAUAAAGCUGAAUACGUGUAUUUAUCUGAAAGUACUUUACGAAUAAGGAUCGGCUAACUCCGUGCCAGCAGCCGCGGUAAUACGGAGGAUCCAAGCGUUAUCCGGAUUUAUUGGGUUUAAAGGGUGCGUAGGUGGGUUGUUAAGUUAGAUGUGAAAGUUUGGAGCUUAACUGUGGAACUGCCUUUAAUACUGGUGACCUAGAGUGUAGAUGAGGUAGGCGGAAUGCAUGGUGUAGCGGUGAAAUGCUUAGAGAUCAUGAAGAACACCGAUUGCGAAGGCAGCUUACUAAUCUACCUCUGACGUUGAGGCACGAAAGCGUGGGGAGCAAACAGGAUUAGAUACCCCAGUAGUC